rnacentral:lncRNA from 1 species
UGGCGGAUCACUUGCGGUCAGGAGCUGGAGACCAGCCCGGCCAACACAGCGAAACCCCGUCUCCACCAAAAAAAUACGAAAACCAGUCAGGCGUGGCGGUGCGCGCCUGCAAUCGCAGGCACUCGGCAGGCUGAGGCAGGAGAAUCAGGCAGGGAGGUUGCAGUGAGCCGAGUUGGCAGCAGUACAGUCCAGCUUCGGCUCGGCAUCAGAGGGAGACCGUGGAAAGAGGGAGAGUCCAGCUUCGGCUCGGCAUCAGAGGGAGACCGUGGAAAGGGGAGAGGGAGAGGGAGAAGGAGAGGGAGAGGGAGAGGGAGAGGGAGAGGGAGAGGGAGAGGAGGGAGGGGGAGGGGGAGGGGGAGGGGGAGGGGGAUGGGGAGAGGGAGAGGUCUUUCUUUUAUUUUUUAAAGACUGCUGGGAGUUUUAUUGCAUCUUUUUUUUCCCCCAGGUUCCUUCCAAGAAUUUACAUCUUAUUAUUGACUCUUCUAAUCCAUAAAUAAGGCUGGAGUGCACUCUUGGCUCACUGCAACCUCCACCUCCCGGGUUCAAGCGAUUCUCCAGCUGCACCCCAUCCAGCACCAGCUAGGACGUACCAAGGGUCCCAGGAGCCUCAGAACAUCUCCAUCUUCAUAGACGUGUGUUUCAUAGUUCAGGGGCUGCGAAAGGAAAAUAAAUCUUGGGGCCCCCAGAUCGCUAAGCUAAAGGGAAAAGGUCAAGCUGGGAAUUGCUUGGGAGAAACUUGCUUCCCAUUCUAUUCAGUCACCCCUCUGCUCACUGACAUACACGCAUAUCCGAUUGCCUGCUUUGAAGAGGCUACUCAGAAACUCAAAAGAAUGCAACCAUUUGUCUCUUAUCUACCUAUGACCUGGAAGCCCCCUCCCCAUGGAGUUGUCCCACCUUUGCUUCAAGUUGUCCCACCUUUCUGGACUGAACCAAUGUUCAUAUGUAAAUGUGUUGAUUGAUGUCUCAUGUCUCCCUAAAAUGUAUAAAACUAAACUCUGCCCUGACCACCUUGGGCGUAUGUCGUCAGGACCUCCUGAGGCUGUGUCACAGGCGCGUGUCCUCAACCUUGGCAAAAUAAACUUUCUAUAUUAACUAAGACCUGUCUCAGGUAUUCAGGGUUCACGUUUUGGUAACCGUGGAAGGAUUCUGAGUGGAGAUGCCCCUGACCUUUGGCAAAUCUCCUAUCAGUGCUUGGGACCAGCAUGAGCUACCUUUAUGGCUCAAACCAAUAGGACAGCUUGCUGAGGCCUG